rnacentral:lncRNA from 1 species
AGAGUCUGGCUGCUAGUUUGAAACCAUUUUAUAGACUUCCAUUAACAUGACAGCAUUAUCAUACAGAUAAUGCAUAUAUUAAUUGAUGUUUUCCAAGUUUCAUUCUGAAUCCCAUAUCUAUACUGUUUUUAAAUAAACAUGGGCCCUGUCCAUCGUUUCUCUUCCCCAAAUACUUAUUUUCUUAAUGCCACUAUUUGAUCAUUUGCUGAUUAUUAAGUAGUCCUAUUUCAAUCCCUAUUAUAAAUCCCACAUCUGUGGAGGAUUAGCAAGAUUGUAGUGGUAAGGAUCGAAAGGCUGGACCUGGAUCUAGAAUCCAUGAAUUUCUCAAGAAGUGGAUUGGGAUUUAAUUCUGGCCUUCUAGCAGUAUAGUUAUAUGCAUGGAAAUGCAUAUAACUAUAUCCACUAUAGCCAAUUUUUGGCAUCUGUUAGCAGAACCAAUCACAUAUGGAGUGGGAGCAGUUUAUCUUGAAGGCCUUGCUGUAUUAAUCUCUACUGCAAAGCAACGUAAACUGGGAAGAAAUAAAAAUGUAUCUAAAAACCAAUAUCUAUUGUUCUUAUGCAAUUUCAAAAUAUUUAAUGGAAGAAAACAAUAACCAUAAUAAUUCACUACAACCAUUAAUCAAAAAUCAAUGACAC